rnacentral:rRNA from 1 species
UGGUGACCGGCGCACGGGUGAGUAACGCGUAUCCAACCUGCCCUUUACUAUGGGACAGCCCGUCGAAAGGCGGAUUAAUACCGUAUGUUGUCAUGUUGAUGCAUAUUUUCAUGACCAAAGGCUUCGGCCGGUAAAGGAUGGGGAUGCGUCUGAUUAGCUUGCCGGCGGGGUAACGGCCCACCGGGGCGACGAUCAGUAGGGGUUCUGAGAGGAAGGUCCCCCACAUUGGAACUGAGACACGGUCCAAACUCCUACGGGAGGCAGCAG